CAUUCAUUUCGUUGCCGUAGGAGAGUCAAAACGAGUUUGAUAUUUGUGCGAGUUGGAUUGAAGAGUGACAUUAUAUGCAACAUGUCUGAUAGACCAACGCCUGGACCCACACCAAAUGAACCAAAACGGCAUAACUAUUGUCGCAACUGUGGCGAACCAAUUCCUUGGGAUGCGACCACAUGUAGUUGGAUAUGCUAUUUUUGGAACCUUUUUUCAUGUUAAAAAGAAGAGGACGGCGAGAUACAACGAUUUACAUCCAACGUUAUUUGAAAGUGCCACAAAGAUGACUUAUCAAACUCAAUUUGAAGCCUGGAUCCUAUUAUAACCACUCAAGAUUAUACACGCCCCAUCGCAGCCACACCUAACGACGGACACUUCCACAUGUUCCUUAUUCCCUAUGCAAGAACUGUUGGCGUUCACAAGACGUUCUUCACAUACACCAUCAGAACGUGGAAUGCAUUUCCCCAAGUUCUUGCAAUUAUACUUUUAGGCUUCCCUUUCUAUCGCAAUUCCAUUGCUAUACGGGAUGUGUCGGGAUACACAUCACUACAUUGAUCUUGAAUCAUAAAUGCUAAAGAUUUAAACGUCAUCAGCAAUGAAAUUUAACUAUUCCUGCAAUGAAUACAUGUUAGACCAUGAACAUCGCACGACGGCCUCCGAUGUGCGUAGAAUGGUAUCCUGAGCUACCCUCCCCGUCUCACGGGAGUUUCGGCGCAAGGCAUGGCUAAGGCUUGGUCGGAUUGCAUCAAUAAAGGCAUGGCCGGGAUGCCUUCUGCAACGUGUUUCCUCGCCUGCUCUACUGGCCUGGGAGGUUAGACGCCGCUCUGAUGAGAGGACUGCUCGCAGUCAGGGAUAUUCAGUAGUCGUAUGGUCCAUAUAUGCCUUAUUGUACGGAACCAAAUGGGAUCAAAGAAUACUAUUUUACAAAUGACACAUUUCUAUUCUUUUUUCUGAUCGUUUAAUCAAUUAAUUUUGCUACUUUAAUGAGAUCUGGACAUUUAUCCGUUGAAAUUGUUCAAUUUAUUAAAGGAACUAAUGGGUAUACAAUGAAGUAUUAUGAUUUGUUUAAGAAAUGUAGUCCUUAUUCUAACACGGCCGUGUGGUUUACUAGAGUUGAGUGAUUUUGUAAUGUUAAUUAUUUUUGUUUAGUUUGUUGGGUCAACGAACACAGAUUUAUCAUAUAAAGAUCCUGGAAGAAAAUUUGUUUAAUCAAUAUUUGUAGUAUCAUUUUUUCUGCUAUAUUUGUAUUGAACGAUGCAUACAAAUCAUUUGAAUUGGGUUGCUCUCUACCAUUUAGCGUCAAAUUAACUCUGGGUUGAGAUUGAGUUUUCUUUCCCAUUGCCUCAUUGACAAAAAACACCAUGUUGUUCUCACAUUGGAACUAACUUUACAUAAUUGUUCAGAUUAAUACAACUUUCGAGAACAUCAAAUCAUACUUGUCAAUCCAUUACGAUAUUUGUUGUAAUUUGUGAUGUUUAAGUUUGUUGGGUUUUACAUAUAUAAUUUGUAAAAGCAGUUUCUUGUUUCGAUUUGUUUCAUAAUACCUUUCGUGAUCCAGGUGUUUCUUAAAAUAUAGAACAUAAUUGUCCAGUGAUAAGAGGAAUACCUUUAUCAUAAUGACAUUGUAAUUAACAAUUGAAUUUUUUAGGAGCAUUAUUCACAUUAUCACCAUUCAAAACAUCUGUCAAGUAAAUCCUAGUCAAAUGAUUCAAUGUAACUAGGACUUUCCUUUCUAUA